GCAAAUUUUAUACCACUGUGAUCACCGUUCUUUUCUCUAUAGGUUAAUUAGAGCCAAAUCACCAAAACACGAUUCACACCGGAGAGCCACCGCACCCGAGAGCACCGCCACCGGUAAGCUUCGGUUUUUCGUAAUUUUUUGGCCCACCGAGGGCCCUAGGGUUGUUUUAUCGCAGGGACCGAUGCAAGUGUGGCCGAAUUCGGCCAAAAACGGCCAACCUGAGGCGAAUCGUCACCUCAAGCGGCGGCGCCGUCGCCGGAGUACGGCGGAGCCGCCGUGCCGGAAU
rnacentral:lncRNA from 1 species